GUCCACGCCCUAAACGAUGAUGACUAGUUGUUGGAGGAGUUAAAUCCUUUAGUAACGCAGCUAACGCGAGAAGUCAUCCGCCUGGGGAGUACGGUCGCAAGAUUAAAACUCAAAGGAAUUGACGGGGGCCCCGCACAAGCGGUGGAUGAUGUGGUUUAAUUCGACGCAACGCGAAAACCUUACCUACCCUUGACAUGUACGGAACCUCGCAGAAAUGCGAGGGUGCCCGAAAGGGAGCCGUAACACAGGUGCUGCAUGGCUGUCGU
rnacentral:rRNA from 1 species